CCUGACCCUACAUGCACUGCAGGUGUGGCUGCUGUGUCACAUGUACAUUAGUAGAUGACUGAGAGGAGAGAGGCAAUAUCUAAGUUCAGUGCUCUGACUUAUGAACAUCUGAAUUAUUGGUAACUCAGAAG